UCCCACAGACUCCAAAGUCCCUGGGUGCCAAUGGGUCCUGGGCAUUCAUCUCAAUGGCAAGGAGCUCCCACCCAGGGGUUCAAGCACAGCCCGCUGCAGUUACAUGCCCAGAGACGUGCCACUGCAAGAGAAGUGGGGCUGGGGAAUGAGAGGUCGAGCUGGGUUGAGGCGUUUAAAGCGGUGCAGACGAGGAGGGCUUGCAAGGCACCGCUGAUCCAAAACUGUGCGGAGACGAAGGUGACCAGGAGCGAGCUGGAUGCCACGAAUUAGGCAGGUGCCCCGAGUUGCAUCAAGAACCUCUCCUCCACCCCUACGUGCAGUCCUCUAAAUUGCAUUAAUUAGGUGCAAAGUGUCCACACCCGAACACUAUCACGUGUUAUAAGCCUGGGUGAGGGGCUAUUUGCAUUCCCAUCUUCUUUCUGUUUCCUUCCGUCCUCAGAGCUGACUGCUAAACCUCUUAGGCGGAUCAAGCGGAACGAGGGCCAGAUUUGGAGGUCCUUGCCCUGAACGGACUCCGGGCCUGCUUCUGCUACCCGAGAGCAUUUUGGGUCCUGCUGUCCCUCAGAGAGCUGGAAAUGGCCAGUGUAAAGUUAUCCAUUUGUUUUGCUCCCUUGUGUUGACUCCAGCCUUGAAGUACUCUAAAGGAAGAACUGUGCUUCAUUGCCUCUGCUCCUAGCCGCAGGACUAGAAAAUGGCAAAUGGAAGAGAAGUGCCUUGGUGGAAAGGCCCCAAACAGAGAUCUGGGAGAUCUGGGUUCGCUGCUGUGCUCCGACCAUAGAUUUUUCCAUAUGACCAUGGGCAUGAAAUGUCUGAAAAUUAAGCGGCGGAAAGUACUAUCUCUGUGGAUGACAUCACACCCAUCAUCCUCAUCCUAUCAUCAUCGUCUUCAUGGGAACACAGAGGCCUGUAAAAUAAUAUGGACUCUUAACCAGCUGAAUUAAGUGGGAGAGGGGAAAAUAUGAUCUUUUAAGAUAAGUAUUUAUGGCAAAGAAUAAAAUUUGUUGGAAGUUCAGCCAAUUUGGUCCUUUAUUGAAAAGCCACUUAAUCUCUUUUGAAGGGGCAUUGAAUUCAACCAGCAGUGUUGGAGUGUUUCGCCUUGUAGGCAAGCAAGGUAUUUUGACUGUCAUAAGUUAUACAUGUUGACACAAUGGAAUUAAAAGUAAAUUUGGUAGCAUCUAUGGACCAAGUUAAUUUAAAAAGCAAAUCAAAAUGAGCAACCAUGAUGAUUUCCCACUUGUACUGGUAUGCAUUUGGCUUUUGUAUAACUUUGUUGCCGUUACUGUGAAUCUGAAUACAGGUUCUGUAAUGUUGUCUAAUAUAUUGUAGCACUUGCAUAUGUAGAGCUACUGAUUUCAUUUGUAAUUGAAGGUUACAGAUUUGGGCUUUUGGAGAAUAUAAUGCUAUAGAAUUACUUAGACUGAAUUGUUCAAUUGUGUAACUUAGGGGCUGAUCCCAGAAGUAUAUUGAGCACCCUUCAUUAAACAGGAAUUGAAGACACUAAGCAUCUCAUGAG